rnacentral:rRNA from 1 species
AUUGAACGCUGGCGGCAUGCCUUACACAUGCAAGUCGAACGGCAGCACGGGAGCAAUCCUGGUGGCGAGUGGCGAACGGGUGAGUAAUAUAUCGGAACGUGCCCAGUCGUGGGGAUAACGUAGCGAAAGCUACGCUAAUACCGCAUACGAUCUAUGGAUGAAAGCGGGGGAUCGCAAGACCUCGCGCGAUUGGAGCGGCCGAUAUCAGAUUAGGUAGUUGGUGAGGUAAAGGCUCACCAAGCCGACGAUCUGUAGCUGGUCUGAGAGGACGACCAGCCACACUGGGACUGAGACACGGUCCAGACUCCUACGGAGGCAGCAGUGGGGAAUUUUUGGACAAUGGACGCAAGUCUGAUCCAGCCAUUCGCGUGCAGGAUGAAGGCCUCGGUGU